rnacentral:rRNA from 1 species
UACGUAGGGGCCUAGCGUUGUCCGGAAUUAUUGGGCGUAAAGAGCUCGUAGGCGGCCUGUCGCGUCAAUUGUGAAAGCCCGGGGCUCAACCCCGGGUCUGCAGUCGAUACGGGCAGGCUAGAGUUCGGUAGGGGAGAUCGGAAUUCCUGGUGUAGCGGUGAAAUGCGCAGAUAUCAGGAGGAACACCGAUGGCGAAGGCAGUUCUCUGGGCCGUAACUGACGCUGAGGAGCGAAAGCGUGGGGAGCGAACAGG